rfam:Akkermansia sp. Pyt scaffold-66, whole genome shotgun sequence.
CAGUUCGGAGACGAUCGAGGAGGCUGCGGGUAGCAGCAGGAAAUCGAUGGGGAAGCCGGUGGAAUUCCGGCACUGUGACGCAACCGUGUUUGCCGCCGAGCGGCAUGAGUCGGAGUACCAGCCUCGAGUGUCGCACUAAC